GAGGAUGUAGCUAAGCUGGUGGAGUGCUUGUUUAGCAUGCACAAAGCCCUGGGUUCGAUCCCCAGCAUCUCA
rnacentral:tRNA from 1 species